AUGCCACUGUAAAAGAAGGUUUCCCACAACAAAAGGGUGCAAUGUGCAUUGGAACAGGCGUAGGGGUAGGGGCCCCUCUGGACUAUUUGACAUAGUUCUGCAAAUGCUUCUCUUUGACGGAGUAAAACCCAAUCUCCCUCCUCUAACCCGUGUGCUGAAACUAACCCAAGCAUUAGGAAUUCCUACUUUCCCUGCUCUAACCUACUCCCUCUGCACAGCCUGGCUCCAAACCACACCUUCUGCUCUGCUCUUACCCACUAACCCCACUCCCCUCCCAGAGUUGGG